CCACCAGGCCUCCGGUUGCCAUGGCGACCGGCUCACAACAGGAAGCAAGGCCCAUCGAGGGAGGCUGAGCUGGGGCAGAAACACAGGAAGCAGCGCUGAGCACUGGGUAGCAUUGUCAGCCUCGUAAAAAACAAAACAGGACAAAAAGAUUUAAUGAGAACAAUUAGCCCAAAGAAAAAGGAAAAAAAAAAAGGCCAAGAAAACAAACAAAGCCAAACAGCCCGAAGGCAGGAGGCUGGCCAGGGUCCAAGGACCCCGUGUUUUCUCUCCGGACACAAUGUGGGUUAAAUAACACUUCCUUCUCAGAAGGAGGCUCCUGGGGGGGUGGGGGGCUCCGGUGGCUUUUCCUGUCGAGCCUCCCAACUUCUGAAGCCUCGAAGCUACCCCUGGAACCCCGACCCAGCCCGGCUCUGGGGACCCCGAUGGGCGAGCCCAGCCUCCAGCGAGUGUUGUCAGCCCCCUUCCAGCUCCGUGGAAGACAGAGCCCAACUGCCACCUGCUUUUUUCACCAGGACCCUAGGAAGUCGCCUCACUCUUGCCGGUCUGACAGCGAGGCAAUGGAGGGGCAGAGAGGUGGCGGGACGCGCCCAGGCUGCACGGCAGGCGUGGUGGAGCCCAGCCCCGCGGACCCCGCCUGCCAUCUCACCCGCAGCAUUUAUCGGGGCUGGCUCUGUGACACACAGGUGACCAAGCCCCAACCAUGUCUCUGAGGGCCCAGCCCAGGCCUCGCUCGCGUCUUCAUUGGGCCAUUGCUGGGGCCUCCUGACUCCCCCUCUAGUCCUUCUUCCCCGCAACCAUGGCCACAGGCAGCUGCGGAGGGCCGCCCACCCCACUGCCUACAGUGGACAGCAUCUUUUUUGUUUACUUUUUAUCACAAUUAUACAUGUUUAAUCUAUAUAUAUGUAUUCUGUUAUUAUACAUGUAUAUAAU